CGGAGGGUCAUUACUGAGUUAUCCAAAAACUCCCAACCCUAUGUGAACUUACCACUGUUGCCUCGGCGAGCUGCGCUACCCUGUAGCUACCUUUGUAGCGACCUGGGAGCGCGUUAUAGGCUCGCCAGAGGACCACUAAACUCUGUUUUAUUUUGUAUCUCUGAAUCUUACAACUGAAAUCAGUUAAAACUUUCAACAACGGAUCUCUUGGUUCUGGCAUCGAUGAAGAACGCAGCGAAAUGCGAUAAGUAAUGUGAAUUGCAGAAUUCAGUGAAUCAUCGAAUCUUUGAACGCACAUUGCGCCCAUUAGUAUUCUAGUGGGCAUGCCUAUUCGAGCGUCAUUUCAACCCUUAAGCCUCAGUAGCUUAGCGUUGGGAAUCUACAGGUUACAGCGUAGUUCCUUAAAGGUAGUGGCGGAGUUAGAGCACACUCUAAGCGUAGUACUUGUUUCUCGCUUCUGGUAGUGGCUUUGGCGGCCGGCCGUGAAACCCCCUAUAUUUCUAAUGGUUGACCUCGGAUUAGGUAGGAAUACCCGCUGAACUUAAGCAUAUCAAUAAGCGGAGGAAAAGAAACCAACAGGGAUUGCCCUAGUAACGGCGAGUGAAGCGGCAACAGCUCAAUUUGAAAUCUGGCCUUCGGGUCCGAGUUGUAAUUUGUAGAGGAUGCUUUGGGUGCGGUGCCUUCCGAGUUCCCUGGAACGGGACGCCUUAGAGGGUGAGAGCCCCGUACGGUUGGACACCUAGCCUAUGUAUAGCUCCUUC
rnacentral:rRNA from 1 species